UUGGAGGGCAAGUCUGGUGCCAGCAGCCGCGGUAAUUCCAGCUCCAAUAGCGUAUAUUAAAGUUGUUGCAGUUAAAAAGCUCGUAGUUGAAUUUCGGGGUCAGUAGAUUGGUCGUGCCACUGGUAUGUACUGGUCUUACUGGCUCUUCCUUCCUGAUGAACCGUAAUGCCAUUAAUUUGGUGUUGCGGGGAGACUGGACUGUUACUUUGAAAAAAUUAGAGUGUUUAAAGCAGGCUAACGCUUGAAUACAUUAGCAUGGAAUAAUGAAAUAGGACGUUCGAUCUUAUUUUGUUGGUUUCUAAGAUUGACGUAAUGAUUAAUAGGGAUAGUUGGGGGCAUUAGUAUUCAAUUGUCAGAGGUGAAAUUCUUGGAUUUAUUGAAGACUAACUACUGCGAAAGCAUUUGCCAAGGAUGUUUUCAUUAAUCAAGAACGAAAGUUAGGGGAUCGAAGACGAUCCGAUACCGUCGUAGUCUUAACCAUAAACUAUGCCGACUAGGGAUCGGAUGAUGUUAAUUUUUUAAUGACUCAUUCGGCGCCUUACGGGAAA
rnacentral:rRNA from 1 species